ensembl:snoRNA
AUCUUUUUGUAGUUCAUGAGCAUGAUGACUGGGUUUUCACACGAAUGUGUGAGAUGUGCCACUCUCUGAACCUUAUUAUGAUCUUGGCACAUUACCCAUCCGACC